AGCCAAACGGCGCUGGCAGCAGGAUAUUAACAAGAACGUUUUGCUUUCAUUAGGCGACCAACAAAAGCAGAGGACGACGACGGCGUUCGAGCCCUGCAGGCGGCGACAUGUGAGAAAUUUGGGAAGCGCGUGCGCUGCCUUUAAGUGGUUUACGCCAAGAGGAUUUCAUUCUCUGUGUCAGGCUGAUGACACCUGUGCACACACAUACACACACGUACACAAAACAAACAGAGACAAUGCCCCUGGCUGUCACCUUUCGCAAUAACUGAAUGCUACCUGGUCUGGCGUCUCGUUCUUGGCGUUGCCAACCGCAAGACUAACAAAAACACGACCGCAAAUUGACUUGGAUUUUGCCGUCGUUCAUCCUUUGUGAUGCUAAAAAAUAUUUAAGGAAAUUAAACGGAUUUCCCCA